GGUUCGAUUAUGGCUCAGAUUGAACGCUGGCGGGAUGCUUUACAUGCAAGUCGAACGGCAGCACGGACUUCGGUCUGGUGGCGAGUGGCGAACGGGUGAGUAAUGUAUCCGGAACGUGCCUAUGGUAGCGGGGAUAACUACGCGAAAGCGUAGCUAAUACCGCAUACGCCCUUCGAGGAAAGCCGGGGACCUUCGGGCCUCGCACUAUUAAACGGCCGAUAUCGGAUUAGCUAGUUGGUGGGGUAACGGCUCACCAAGGCGACGAUCCGUAGCUGGUUUGAGAGGACGACCAGCCACACUGGGACUGGACGGCCCAGACUCCUACGGGAGGCAGCAGUGAAAUUUUGGACAAUGGGGAAACCCUGAUCCAGCCAUCCCGCGUGUGCGAUGAAGGCCUUCGGGUUGUAAAGCACUUUGGCAGGAAGAAACGGCACGGGAUAAUACCCCGUGCAACCCGGCGAAACACCUGCAGAAUAAGCACGCAAUAACUUACAUUACAGCAGCCGCGGUAAUACGUAGGGUGCAAGCGUUAAUCGGAAUUACUGGGCGUAAAGCGUGCGCAGAAGCAGGUUGGAAAGAUGUGAAAUCCCAGAGCGCUUUGGAACUGCAUUUUUAACUACCGAGCUAGAGUGUGUCAGGGAGGUGGAAUUCCGCGUGUAGCAGUGAAAUGCGUAGAUAUGCGGAGAAAGCACACCGAUGGCGAAAACAGCCUCCUGGGAUAACACUGACGCUCAUGCACGAAAGCGUGGGGAGCAAACAGUUAGAUACCCUGGUAGUCCACGCCCUCGACGAUGUCAACUAGCUGUUGGGGCCUUCGGGCCUUGGUGGCGCAGCUAACGCGUGAAGUUGACCGCCUGGGAGAUACCCGGUCGCAAGAUUAAAAACAAAGGAAUUGACGGGGACCCACUGACGUGGAUGAUGUGGAUUAAUUCGAUGCAACGCGAAAAACCUUACCUAUGACAUGUCUGGAAUCGAAAGAGAUUUGGGGUGCUCGCAGAAGGAACCGGAACACAGGUGCUGCAUAAAAAACAUUAAAGUCAGCUCGUGUCGUGAAGAUCGUGGGUUAAGUCCCGCAACGAGCGCAACCCUUGUCAUUAGUUGCUACGAGGCACUCUAGUAGAGAUUUGGUGACAAACCGGGAGGAAGGUGAGGAUGACGUCAAGUCCUCAUGGCCCUUAUGGGUAGGGCUUCACACGUCAUACAAUGGUCGGGACAGAGGGUCGCCAACCCGCGAGGAGCCAAUCCGAAGGCGAUGUCGUCCGGAUCGCCAGUCUGCAACUCAGCUGCGUGAAGUCGGAAUCGCUAGUAAUCGCGGAUCGGCAUGUCCUUGAAUACGUUCCGGAUCUUGUACGCCGCCCGUCACACCAUGGGAAUUAGGUUUUACCAAGUAGUUAGCCUAACCGUAGGGAGGGCGAUUACCACAGUAGGAUUCAUGACUGGGGUGAAGUCGUAACAAGGUAA
rnacentral:rRNA from 1 species